rnacentral:tRNA from 1 species
GGACGGGUAGUGCAAGUGGUCAAAGCCGGCUGGCUGUAACCCAGCUCCGAAAGGUUCCGGGGUUCGAAUCCCUGACCGUCCACCA